ACGCUGGCGGCGUGCCUAACACAUGCAAGUCGAACGGAGUUCGGCCCCGCAAGGGGACUGGACUUAGUGGCGAACGGGUGAGUAACGCGUAAUCAACCUGCCCUUCAGAGGGGGACAACAGUUGGAAACGACUGCUAAUACCGCAUACGAUCUGACCUCGGCAUCGAGGAUAGAUGAAAGGUGGCCUCUAUUUAUAAGCUAUCACUGAAGGAGGGGAUUGCGUCUGAUUAGCUAGUUGGAGGGGUAACGGCCCACCAAGGCGAUGAUCAGUAGCCGGUCUGAGAGGAUGAACGGCCACAUUGGGACUGAGACACGGCCCAAACUCCUACGGGAGGCAGCAGUGGGGAAUAUUGCACAAUGGGGGAAACCCUGAUGCAGCGACGCCGCGUGAGCGAAGAAGUAUUUCGGUAUGUAAAGCUCUAUCAGCAGGGAAGAAAAUGACGGUACCUGACUAAGAAGCCCCGGCUAACUACGUG
rnacentral:rRNA from 1 species